rnacentral:rRNA from 1 species
UACGUAGGGUGCAAGCGUUGUCCGGAAUUAUUGGGCGUAAAGAGCUCGUAGGCGGUCUGUCGCGUCGGCUGUGAAAACUCGGGGCUCAACUCCGAGCUUGCAGUCGAUACGGGCAGGCUAGAGUUCGGCAGGGGAGACUGGAAUUCCUGGUGUAGCGGUGAAAUGCGCAGAUAUCAGGAGAACACCCGGUGGCGAAGGCGGGCUCUGGCGGA